AUUUACCAAACUUCACCUGGGAGAAUCUUCCAUCAUUUCAAAAAAGGAGUCCAUUUAUUCUCUGUAAUUUCUAUACCAUAUCUUAAUCAAAAUGGCAAGAAGAUAUCCUUUAAGAAAGGAGGCCAGAGCAUUAGGGGCUGUGCAGAUAAUUCUUGCCUUGAUUCACUGUGCCCUGGGGAUUCUCUGUGAUCGUUUGUUUCUCAAAGAGGAGAAUAUACAAAAUACUGGUUUUAUACCUGUGUUGGUUAUACUCGGGUACAUAUUUUGGUCCUCACUGUUUUUCAUCAUCUCAGGAUCUGUCACCAUGGGAGCCCAGAAGAAACCCAUACGGUAUAAGCUUAUUUCUGCCAUUGUUAUGAACAUCCUGAGUGCCUGCUUUUCUGCAAUUGGAGCACUUAUAUUACUGAUUGCAUGUUUCACUUAUAGCUCAGAAAAGAAUGAAUAUGUUUGGUCACAUUUAGCUGGUAGUAUGAUUUUACAAUAUUUACUCUUCAGUGCCAUCACAGAACUGAUCACUGUCUCCAUAACUCUCUCCUGGAUUGUGAAAGCAUUAUACCAUCCAGAAACCAGUGAAGAGAGUUACUCAUCUUCGGAACCCCCUGUCUCUUCGUAAUUUGCAAA
rnacentral:lncRNA from 9 species